rnacentral:rRNA from 1 species
CCUACGGGUGGCAGCAGUGAGGAAUAUUGGUCAAUGGACGAGAGUCUGAACCAGCCAAGUAGCGUGAAGGAUGACUGCCCUAUGGGUUGUAAACUUCUUUUAUAUGAGAAUAAACUGUUCCACGUGUGGGAUGUUGUAUGUACCAUAUGAAUAAGGAUCGGCUAACUCCGUGCCAGCAGCCGCGGUAAUACGGAGGAUCCGAGCGUUAUCCGGAUUUAUUGGGUUUAAAGGGAGCGUAGGUGGUUUGUUAAGUUAGUUGUGAAAGGUCGGGGCUCAACCCUGAAACUGCAGCUGAAACUGGUAGACUUGAGUAUAGUAGAGGUGGGCGGAAUUCGUGGUGUAGCGGUGAAAUGCGUAGAUAUCAGGAAGAACACCGAUGGCGAAGGCAGCCCGCUGGACUGCAACUGACACUGAGGCCCGAAAGCGUGGGUAGCAAACAGGAUUAGAUACCCGAGUAGUC